GAUGAACGCUGGCGGCGUGCUUAACACAUGCAAGUCGAGCGGGCAAUUUAUCUAGCACUGAUUACUUCAAAUGGAAAUCAUAAGUGUAAUCAUGAAUUUCUACCUUUAAUAAAGAAAAAAGAAAUUCAUGUACGCAAAUAGUGAUAACACAUUUUAGUGGAGUGAUGAGUGCUGGAUAAAUUGCUAGCGGCGGACGGGUGCGUAACACGUGGGUAACCUGCCCCUAUCACUGGGAUAACACACUGAAAAGUGUGCUAAUACCAGAUAAUAUAAGCUUUUGGCAUCAUUAGCUUAUCAAAGAAUUUCGGAUAGGGAUGGGCCCGCGUCUGAUUAGCUAGUUGGUGAGGUAACGGCUCACCAAGGCAACGAUCAGUAGCCGACCUGAGAGGGUGAUCGGCCACACUGGAACUGAGACACGGUCCAGACUCCUACGGGAGGCAGCAGU
rnacentral:rRNA from 1 species